rnacentral:rRNA from 1 species
UACGGAGGGUGCAAGCGUUAUCCGGAUUCACUGGGUUUAAAGGGUGCGUAGGUGGGCAGGUAAGUCAGUGGUGAAAUCUCCGGGCUUAACCCGGAAACUGCCAUUGAUACUAUCUGUCUUCGAAUACCGUGGAGGUGAGCGGAAUAUGUCAUGUAGCGGUGAAAUGCUUAGAUAUGACAUAGAACACCAAUUGCGAAGGCAGCUCACUACACGAAUAUUGACACUGAGGCACGAAAGCGUGGGGAGCAAACAGG